UUGUCAGAAGGCCUAAGAUCAAUAACACAGAAAGAAGCUUCUAUGAUUACCAUUGAGCAAGGAUCUAUGAAUAAAUCUGCAGUUUUGUUUUUCGAUGAAAGACAGAAAGAAGAAGGACUGGAUGAGAGGGGAAGCUGUAAGUUGUAAGUUGAUAGGAGAAACUGUAAUCAGAAUAUAAUCUAUGAGAAAAAGAAGAGUGUUUUUAAUAAAAGGAAACCAAGG